rnacentral:pre_miRNA from 1 species
UGAUGAUGAUGAUGAUGAUGAUGAUGAUGAUGAUGAUGAUGAUGAAUGUAAGUGGGAAAUUUGUUUGAAAGAGUUACCGAGUUAUCAUCGUCGUCGUCUUAUAUUUUCAUCAUCAUCAUCAUCAUCAUCGUCAUCG